CACGUAGGGACCAAGCGUUGUCCGGAUUCAUUGGGCGUAAAGAGCUCGUAGGCGGCUCAGUAAGUCGGGUGUGAAACCUCCAGGCUCAACCUGGAGACGCCACCCGAUACUGCUGUGGCUAGAGUUCAGUAGGGGAGCGUGGAAUUCCUGGUGUAGCGGUGAAAUGCGCAGAUAUCAGGAGGAACACCAGCGGCGAAGGCGGCGCUCUGGGCUGGAACUGACGCUGAGGAGCGAAAGCGUGGGGAGCGAACAGG
rnacentral:rRNA from 1 species